rnacentral:rRNA from 1 species
CAUAUCAACUUUCAAUGCCAUUUACUGCGUCUACCAUGGUGACCACGGGUAAUGGGGAAUCAGGGUUCGAUUCCA